AUUGAACGCUGGCGGCAGGCCUAACACAUGCAAGUCGAGCGAGCGGCGGACGGGUGAGUAAUGUAUGGGGACUGCCCGAUAGAGGGGGAUCACUACUGGAAACGGUAGCUAAUACCGCAUACUAUCGGAUACCGCAUAUGGGCUUAGCUAGUAGGUGAGGUAAUGGCACUCCUAGGCGCCGAUCCCUAGCUGGGCUGAGUGGAUGAUCAGCCAAACUGGGACGGAGACACGGCCCAGACUCCUACGGAGGCAGCAGUGGGGAAUAUUGCACAAUGGGGGCAAGCCUGAUGCAGCCAUGCCGCUGGUAUGAAGAAGGCCCUAGGGUUGUAAAGUACUUUCAGUCGGGAGGCGUUACCGACAGAAGAAGCACCGGCUAACUCCGUGCCAGCCGCCGCGGUAAUUC
rnacentral:rRNA from 1 species